GGCGGGACACGUGGUAUCCUGUCUGAAUAUGGGGGGACCAUCCUCCAAGGCUAAAUACUCCUGACUGACCGAUAGUGAACCAGUACCGUGAGGGAAAGGCGAAAAGAACCCCGGCGAGGGGAGUGAAAAAGAACCUGAAACCGUGUACGUACAAGCAGUGGGAGCCUCUUUAUGGGGUGACUGCGUACCUUUUGUAUAAUGGGUCAGCGACUUAUAUUCUGUAGCAAGGUUAACCGUAUAGGGGAGCCGAAGGGAAACCGAGUCUUAACUGGGCGUUAAGUUGCAGGGUAUAGACCCGAAACCCGGUGAUCUAGCCAUGGGCAGGUUGAAGGUUGGGUAACACUAACUGGAGGACCGAACCGACUAAUGUUGAAAAAUUAGCGGAUGACCUGUGGCUGGGGGUGAAAGGCCAAUCAAACCGGGAGAUAGCUGGUUCUCCCCGAAAGCUAUUUAGGUAGCGCCUCGUGAACUCAUCUUCGGGGGUAGAGCACUGUUUCGGCUAGGGGGCCAUCCCGGCUUACCAACCCGAUGCAAACUACGAAUACCGAAGAAUGUUAUCACGGGAGACACACGGCGGGUGCUAACGUCCGUCGUGAAGAGGGAAACAACCCAGACCGCCAGCUAAGGUCCCAAAGUCAUGGUUAAGUGGGAAACGAUGUGGGAAGGCACAGACAGCCAGGAUGUUGGCUUAGAAGCAGCCAUCAUUUAAAGAAAGCGUAAUAGCUCACUGGUCGAGUCGGCCUGCGCGGAAGAUGUAACGGGGCUAAACCAUGCACCGAAGCUGCGGCAGCGACACUAUGUGUUGUUGGGUAGGGGAGCGUUCUGUAAGCCGUUGAAGGUGUGCUGUGAGGCAUGCUGGAGGUAUCAGAAGUGCGAAUGCUGACAUAAGUAACGAUAAAGCGGGUGAAAAGCCCGCUCGCCGGAAGACCAAGGGUUCCUGUCCAACGUUAAUCGGGGCAGGGUGAGUCGACCCCUAAGGCGAGGCCGAAAGGCGUAGUCGAUGGGAAACAGGUUAAUAUUCCUGUACUUGGUGUUACUGCGAAGGGGGGACGGAGAAGGCUAUGUCAGCCGGGCGACGGUUGUCCCGGUUUAAGCAUGUAGGCGGAGGUUCCAGGUAAAUCCGGUACCUUUUAACGCUGAGGUGUGAUGACGAGGCACUACGGUGCUGAAGUGAUAAAUGCCCUGCUUCCAGGAAAAGCCUCUAAGCAUCAGGUAACAUCAAAUCGUACCCCAAACCGACACAGGUGGUCAGGUAGAGAAUACCAAGGCGCUUGAGAGAACUCGGGUGAAGGAACUAGGCAAAAUGGUGCCGUAACUUCGGGAGAAGGCACGCUGAUGUGUAGGUGAAGCCCCUGCGGGCGGAGCUGAAAUCAGUCGAAGAUACCAGCUGGCUGCAACUGUUUAUUAAAAACACAGCACUGUGCAAACACGAAAGUGGACGUAUACGGUGUGACGCCUGCCCGGUGCCGGAAGGUUAAUUGAUGGGGUUAGCGGCAACGCGAAGCUCUUGAUCGAAGCCCCGGUAAACGGCGGCCGUAACUAUAACGGUCCUAAGGUAGCGAAAUUCCUUGUCGGGUAAGUUCCGACCUGCACGAAUGGCGUAAUGAUGGCCAGGCUGUCUCCACCCGAGACUCAGUGAAAUUGAACUCGCUGUGAAGAUGCAGUGUACCCGCGGCAAGACGGAAAGACCCCGUGAACCUUUACUAUAGCUUGACACUGAACACUGGUCCUUGAUGUGUAGGAUAGGUGGGAGGCUUUGAAGCGUGGACGCCAGUCUGCGUGGAGCCGACCUUGAAAUACCACCCUUUAAUGGCUGGUGUUCUAACGUAGACCCGUAAUCCGGGUUGCGGACAGUGUCUGGUGGGUAGUUUGACUGGGGCGGUCUCCUCCCAAAGAGUAACGGAGGAGCACGAAGGUUGGCUAAUCCUGGUCGGACAUCAGGAGGUUAGUGCAAUGGCAUAAGCCAGCUUGACUGCGAGCGUGACGGCGCGAGCAGGUGCGAAAGCAGGUCAUAGUGAUCCGGUGGUUCUGAAUGGAAGGGCCAUCGCUCAACGGAUAAAAGGUACUCCGGGGAUAACAGGCUGAUACCGCCCAAGAGUUCAUAUCGACGGCGGUGUUUGGCACCUCGAUGUCGGCUCAUCACAUCCUGGGGCUGAAGUAGGUCCCAAGGGUAUGGCUGUUCGCCAUUUAAAGUGGUACGCGAGCUGGGUUUAGAACGUCGUGAGACAGUUCGGUCCCUAUCUGCCGUGGGCGCUGGAGAAUUGAGGGGGGCUGCUCCUAGUACGAGAGGACCGGAGUGGACGCAUCACUGGUGUUCGGGUUGUCAUGCCAAUGGCACUGCCCGGUAGCUAAAUGCGGAAGAGAUAAGUGCUGAAAGCAUCUAAGCACGAAACUUGCCCCGAGAUGAGUUCUCCCUGAGACUU
rnacentral:rRNA from 2 species